CAAAGUAAUAGUUCAUAUUCAGUUACUAUCAUACAUUCUGAGAAUGGACGAUUCAAAGCCAUCACCAUUUUUAACAUCACUGUUUGUGGUACUGACUGUUGUUGUUCUGGGGGUUAUAAUUGCUGCCAUUGGAAUUGGGGCCUACUUUCUGAGAGACUGUCCUGUCCAGCAUUACAUCCCAGUCUACCUUAUAGUAUUUGGUGUAUUUGUUUUGCUUGUUCUGAUAGUAAGCCUGGGCUUAUUGUGUGGUACACUUGCAAAGGAUGCCUUUGAGUUGCUGCUGUUGUCUAUCCUGAUCACCUCCGUCAGCGCCAUCCUCUACCUAUUUGUUGUCUGCUGGUUCAUCACAGGGAGUGUCUGGAUAUAUUCUGUACAUCCACCCAGUUAUGACCCAACAAAUGGACAGAACUACUGCAACAAAACUCUGUACCUCUUUGCAUUCUGGUUGAAUACAGUCUGUUAUGGCUGUUUGGCUGUCCUGCUGCUUUGUAGUGGAUUUUCAGUGCUUUAUAUCUGUGUAAAGAAUACUUGCCAAAGGCCACAGUCAUUGGCUUCAAACUCUCAGCAACAAGCAUAAGAUGUUUUGUAAUAUGCAUGAUUUAAUUCAAAUUACAAUUUAAUUAUACAUUUGAUCAUUGUGUUCCCCAAGAAUCAAAUCCAUGACCUUGAUAUUAUAUCCUAUUUUCUAGUAUAGGGCUACAGAAAAUCACCUGUUUUGAGAUCACCUGUAUAAUUAUAUAUUUACAUCCAGUUCAAAAUCAAGGCCUAGGCUUGAAGAUAAUGUACAGCUCAACUUGAAAAAUAUCAAUAUAAAUCCAAUAUAUACUGUCACCGCAAUGUGUAAUAGUCAUACUACUCAAAUUUUGUUAACCUAAUUUUUUUAUAUAAAUAAAAAUGUACAUAGAGGCAAAAAGGUGGUUGCUAUGCUUCAGUUUGGGUUUGCAAAAACAGUUUCUCAACAUUUUGCCAAAGGAAGUGUUUUUAAAGCUACUGGCUCAGUCUGCUGACCACAGAACUGUGAAAACAUACUGGUUGACUCCGAGCAGCUCUGUCCGCUUUAACUUCAAUAUUCUGUUCCCAUCUUCAUAAUAAAGCUAAUUUUGGGAGAGUUCUCCUCAUAUUUGAAAGCCUAUGAGGCCAUUUUUAUUUUAUUUUAUUUAUUUUUCUAAUAUAAAAAUUACAUUCUUAUGAACUAUUUAAGAAAUUAUUGAAGAUGGAGACUACUGAGACAGCUGCCAGAAAAUCUUUAAUUGUGAUGAUAAACAUGAUUGCAUGGAUGAUUUUGAUAACAGCUACUGGAUUAGGAGCAAUUCAUUUUCAUGAGUGCCCUGUUCAGCCAAACCUCUCCAUCUAUGUGACUGUGGUUGGAGUGACUGGUUUGCUUUUACUGUUGGUCAUGUACCUGAGGAACACUUUGGAUGACUGUCUGCUGGCACGGUUCUGCAGUGCCUUCAGCUUUAUGCUCUUCCUAUUCAUUGUGUGCUGGUUCUUUGCUGGUACCUACUGGAUUUACUCCAUAUAUCCUCCCAACUAUGUUCCCACCAGAGACCACUGUCAGAGAACCCUGUAUUUGUUUGCAUUUUGGAUUAACAAUCUAGGCUAUCUUUGUGUGUUUAUACUGUCUCUGUUUGGUUUGUAUAUCAUUUUAAAACCUAUGCUUUCACCAAUAGAACAGUA